UACGGAGGGAGCUAGCGUUGUUCGGAAUUACUGGGCGUAAAGCGCACGUAGGCGGCUUUGUAAGUUAGAGGUGAAAGCCCGGGGCUCAACUCCGGAACUGCCUUUAAGACUGCAUCGCUUGAAUCCAGGAGAGGUGAGUGGAAUUCCGAGUGUAGAGGUGAAAUUCGUAGAUAUUCGGAAGAACACCAGUGCGAGGACGGC
rnacentral:rRNA from 1 species